rnacentral:rRNA from 1 species
UACAGAGGGGGCAAGCGUUGUUCGGAAUUACUGGGCGUAAAGCGCGCGUAGGCGGACCUGCAAGUCGGGGGUGAAAGCCCGAGGCUCAACCUCGGAACUGCCUUCGAUACUGCGGGUCUCGAGUCCGGGAGAGGUGAGUGGAAUUCCGUAGUGUAGAGGUGAAAUUCGUAGAUAUUAGGAAGAACACCAGUGGCGAAGGGCGGCUACCACC